rnacentral:rRNA from 1 species
UACGAAGGGGGCGAGCGUUGUUCGGAAUCACUGGGCGUAAAGCGCACGUAGGCGGAUUGUUAAGUCAGGGGUGAAAUCCUGGAGCUCAACUCCAGAACUGCCUUUGAUACUGGCGAUCUCGGAGUCCGGGAGAGGUGAGUGGAACUGCGAGUGUAGAGGUGAAAUUCGUAGAUAUUCGCAAGAACACCAGUGGCGAAGGCGGCUCACUGGCCCGGUACUGACGCUGAGGUGCGAAAGCGUGGGGAGCAAACAGGG